rnacentral:misc_RNA from 1 species
GAUGAAGAACGCAGCGAACUGCGAUAAGUAAUGUGAAUUGCAGAAUUCAGUGAAUCAUCGAGUCUUUGAACGCACAUUGCGCCCCCUGGCAUUCCGGGGGGCAUGCCUGUCCGAGCGUCAUUGCUGCCCUUCAAGCCCGGCUUGUGUGUUGGGUCGUCGUCCCCCCCGGGGGACGGGCCCGAAAGGCAGCGGCGGCACCGCGUCCGGUCCUCGAGCGUAUGGGGCUUUGUCACCCGCUCGAUUAGGGCCGGCCGGGCGCCAGCCGGCGUCUCCAACCUUCUAUUUUACCAGGUUGACCUCGGAUCAGGUAGGGAUACCCGCUGAACUUAAGCAUAUCAAUAAGCGGAG